rnacentral:tRNA from 1 species
UCCCCAGUGGCUCAGCUGGGAAAGAAUCUGCCUGCAAGGCAGGAGACCCCGGUUCAAUUCUUGGCUUGGGAG